GUCUAUGGCCAUGUGCCCUGAACAAGCCUCAUCCCGUCUGAUCUCGGAAGCUAAGCAGGGUCGGGCCUGGUUAGUACUGGGAUGGGAGACCACCUAGGAAGACGAGGUGUUGUAGGCA
rnacentral:rRNA from 1 species